rnacentral:rRNA from 1 species
GGGGGGGGGGGGGGGCGGGGUGGGGGGGGGCGGGGCGGGGGGGAGGGGCCGGGUGGGGUGGGGUGCGCGGGUGGCGAACGGGGGGGUAACACGGGAGUAACCUGCCCGUGACUUUGGGAUAACUUCAGGAAACUGGGGCUAAUACCGGAUAGGAGCUCCUGCUGCAUGGGGGGGGUUGGAAAGUUUCGGCGGUUGGGGAUGGACUCGCGGCUUAGCAGCUUGUUGGUGGGGUAGUGGCUUACCAAGGCUUUGACGGGUAGCCGGCCUGAGAGGGUGACCGGCCACAUUGGGACUGAGAUACGGCCCAGACUCCUACGGGAGGCAGCAGUGGGGAAUAUUGCACAAUGGGCGGAAGCCUGAUGCAGCAACGCCGCGUGCGGGAUGACGGCCUUCGGGUUGUAAACCGCUUUCGCCUGUGACGAAGCGUGAGUGACGGUAAUGGGUAAAGAAGCACCGGCUAACUACGUG